rnacentral:rRNA from 1 species
CAGCUAGUUGGUAGGGUAACGGCCUACCAAGGCAACGAUGGGUAGCUGGUGUGAGAGCACGACCAGCCACACGGGCACUGAGACACGGGCCCGACUCCUACGGGAGGCAGCAGUGAGGAAUAUUGGUCAAUGGACGCAAGUCUGAACCAGCCAUGCCGCGUGAAGGAUGAAGGCCUUCUGGGUUGUAAACUUCUUUUAUCUGGGAAGAAAACUAUGGUUUCUACUAUAGCCGACGGUACCAGAGGAAUAAGCACCGGCUAACUCCGUGCCAGCAGCCGCGGUAAUACGGAGGGUGCAAGCGUUAUCCGGAUUCACUGGGUUUAAAGGGUGUGUAGGCGGGUAGUUAAGUCAGUGGUGAAAUCUCCGGGCUCAACCCGGAAACUGCCAUUGAUACUAUCUAUCUUGAAUUUUGUUGAGGUAGGCGGAAUAUGUCAUGUAGCGGUGAAAUGCAUAGAUAUGACAUAGAACACCAAUUGCGAAGGCAGCUUACUAAGCAAAUAUUGACGCUGAGGCACGAAAGCGUGGGGAUCAAACAGGGAUUAGAUACCCUGGUAGUCCACGCCCUAAAC